CCCGGUUGCCAUGCCGGAGGGGCCACACCCGUUCCCAUCCCGAACACGGAAGUUAAGCCCUCCAGGGCCAAUGAUACUGCAGCUGCGAGGCUGUGGGAAAGUAGGACGUUGCCGGGU
rnacentral:rRNA from 1 species